rnacentral:rRNA from 1 species
GGGCCCGCACAAGCGGUGGAGCAUGUGGUUUAAUUCGAUGCAACGCGAAGAACCUUACCUACUCUUGACAUUUAACAAAACCGGUAGAGAUACUGGGUGUCUUCGGACAUGUUAGAACAGGUGCUGCAUGGCUGUCGUCAGCUCGUGUCGUGAGAUGUUGGGUUAAGUCCCGUAACGAGCGCAACCCUUAUUCUUAGUUACCAGCACGUUAUGGUGGGGACUCUAAGGAGACUGCCGGUGACAAACCGGAGGAAGGCGGGGACGACGUCAAGUCAUCAUGGCCCUUACGAGUAGGGCUACACACGUGCUACAAUGGCAGGUACAGAGGGCAGCGAAGCGGUGACGCGGAGCGAAUCUUUCAAAGCCUGUCGUAGUCCGGAUUGGAGUCUGCAACUCGACUCCAUGAAGUCGGAAUCGCUAGUAA